rnacentral:lncRNA from 10 species
UGGCAAGUUAGGAGGGUUUUGUUUUGUUUUGUUUCUUUUCAUGGAUAAGGGCUAGAACUUAAAGAGGUUAAGUAAUUUGCCCAGGGUCUCACAGUUUACAUUCCAGGAUUCACAUCCAGGCUUAUCUAACCCCAGAGCCCACACUCGCUCCGUUUGACCAUGGUGUUUUUUCUGUUUACAAAAAUUCUCCAGCAGAGCCUCGUUUCCACGUGGAAGCUCUGUGGGGUUACCACCUCUGAGCACACGCCUGACGAGGCCAGAGAACCUCCCAGCAGCUCCUCUGACGCAGCCAGGGCCAGCGGAGGGGGUGCUGAGGCAUGAAGAGAAGGGCCGAGGGCGAGGCAGCGCUUGCCUCCGUGACGCCUGGCCUUUUGUCCUUGCUCCUUCUCCAGAGACUUUGCUGUGGUUCUGCCCCGUGAUUUCACCAGGGCAAGGAUGGAGAAAUUU